GGAACAAAACAUAGAUCGGGUCUGUUUGAUCAAUCACCAUUAUUAUUAUUAACUGAAAAACUUACAUAUCCAAUGUCAUCAAUCAUCUUCUACAUUUUUUUUUGUCCUUAUUUAUCAACUACAAUACCUAGUUUUUGCUAGGUGCAAUUAAUGUGUUGUUGACAUCUAUGAAAACUGAUUGUAACCUUUAUUAACUUUAACGUAUUAUCAAAACAAAAUUACAUUUCGAAAACCAUAAAAAGCCAUUCACAUGGCAUCAAUUUAUAAAGUCGAUUGAGAUAUUUUAUUGGGGCCAAAAACGAAGAAAUUUGGUAAGUAUCUUUUAAUUCUUUGCAGAUUCAUUAAAUGUUGUGACAAGGACAACAAGUCUCUACAUAGUGUAAAACAUUUUAUUCCUAACAAUAAAACCUAAAAACUAAUAUUUUGUUUUAUUCUUUAAAAAUA